GUGCCCACGAGAGCCUGGCAUGUUUACUUGAAAAAAUUAGAGUGCUCAAAGCAGGCGCUUGCGCCUGAAUAGUGUUGCAUGGAAUAAUGGAAUAGGACCUCGGUUCUAUUUUGUUGGUUUUCGGAACUUGAGGUAAUGAUUAAGAGGGACGGUCGGGGGCAUUCGUAUUUCGGUGUUAGAGGUGAAAUUCUUGGAUCGCUGAAAGACGGACAAAUGCGAAAGCAUCUGCCAAGAACGUCUCCAUUAAUCAAGAACGAAAGUCAGAGGUUCGAAGACGAUCAGACACCGUCCUAGUUCUGACCAUAAACGAUGCCAACUAGCGAUCCGCAGUGGUUGCUAUAAACGGACUCUGCGAGCAGCUUCCGGGAAACCAAAGUGUUUGGGUUCCGGGGGAAGUAUGGUGCAAAGCUGAAACUUAAAGGAAUUGACGGAAGGCNCCACCAGG
rnacentral:rRNA from 1 species